rnacentral:rRNA from 1 species
AGAGAGAGACAUGCGCGCAUAUCAAUAAGCGGAGGAAAAGGAACUAACAAGGAUUCCCCUAGUAACGGCGAGUGAAGCGGGAAGAGCUCAAAUUUGAAAUCUUCAAGGGUUCUACCUUGACGAAUUGUAGUUUAAAGAAGUGUUUUCUGUUGAGGUUUUGGUAAAAGUUCUUUGGAAUAGGACAUCAUAGAGGGUGAGAAUCCCGUAUUUGACCUUUACUUUCAACUUUGUGAUACACUUUCAAAGAGUCGGAUUGUUUGGGAAUGCAGUCCAAAAUGGGUGGUAAAUUUCAUCUAAAGCUAAAUAUUGGCGAGAGACCGAUAGCGAACAAGUACCGUGAGGGAAAGAUGAAAAGAACUUUGAAAAGAGAGUUAAACAGUACGUGAAAUUGUCAAAAGGGAAGCGUUUGACACCAGUGUUGUUUUUCUGAAAAUCAAUUAAAGAACUGUUUAUGCUAAGUUGUUUAGACUUUAUCAGCUAACUGUUUAGUUUUGAGCUUUUCUUUAAUGCACUUUUCAGUUAACAAGUCAACAUCAAUUUCUUUUGCUGUAAAAAAGCUUGAGGAAGGUGGCUUGAGAUUCGUCUUAAGUGUUUAUAGCCUCUUGCCUAUGCAGUCGGAGAGAUUGAGGUCUGCAGCGUAGAUCCUUCGGGGCUAAAUGCAUUUGUGCUAAGUUAUAGCAUUUUAUAGACAACUUGUUGACUAUGAUUUGUCUUGUAGCUUACUCGCUUAUGUUAUUUUACCUACGCUUAGGAUGUUGAGCGCAUGUCUCUCUCU